rnacentral:rRNA from 1 species
UAUGUGAUCGUCUCUCGCAUAUCAAUAAGCGGAGGAAAAGAAACUAACAAGGAUUCCCCUAGUAACGGCGAGUGAAGCGGGAAGAGCUCAAAUUUGAAAUCUUAAAGGGUUUCCCUUUACGAAUUGUAGUUUAAAGAAGUGUUUUCUGUUGAGGUUUUGGUAAAAGUUCUUUGGAAUAGGACAUCAUAGAGGGUGAGAAUCCCGUAUUUGACCUUUACUUUCAACUUUGUGAUACACUUUCAAAGAGUCGGAUUGUUUGGGAAUGCAGUCCAAAAUGGGUGGUAAAUUUCAUCUAAAGCUAAAUAUUGGCGAGAGACCGAUAGCGAACAAGUACCGUGAGGGAAAGAUGAAAAGAACUUUGAAAAGAGAGUUAAACAGUACGUGAAAUUGUCAAAAGGGAAGCGUUUGACACCAGUGUUGUUUUUCUGAAAAUCAAUUAAAGAACUGUUUAUGCUAAGUUGUUUAGACUUUAUCAGCUAACUGUUUAGUUUUGAGCUUUUCUUUAAUGCACUUUUCAGUUAACAAGUCAACAUCAAUUUCUUUUGCUGUAAAAAAGGUAGAGGAAGGUGGCUUCAAUUUCGGUUGAAGUGUUUAUAGCCUUUUAUCUCUGCAGUCGGGGAGAUUGAGGUCUGCAGCGUAGAUCCUUCGGGGUUAGAUACAUUGGUGCUAAGCUAUAGCCUUGUAUAGACAACUUGUUGACUAUGCUCAGUCAUGUAGCUUACUCGCUGAUGCUAUUUUACCUACGCUUAGGAUGUUGAGCGCAUGUCUCUCUCU